rnacentral:rRNA from 1 species
UUUAAAGUCUAAUCUGCCCAAUGAAGUUUUAAAUGGCCGCGGUAUUUUGACCGUGCAAAGGUAGCAUAAUAAUUAGUUUUUUAAUUGGAAGCUGGAAUGAAUGAUUGAACGAGAAAAUAGCUGUCUCAAUUUAAUUUAAUUAGAAUUUUAUUUUUAAGUAAAAAAGCUUAAAUUUUUUUAAAAGACGAGAAGACCCUAUAGAGUUUGAUAGUUUAGUUUUAAUUAGUUUUUUAGUAUUUUUAUAUUAAUUUUAAUUAGAUUAUUUUGUUGGGGUGAUAGAAAAAUUAAAUUAACUUUUUUUUAUAUUUUUCAUUAAUUUAUGUUUUGUUGAUCCAUUAUUUAUGAUUAUAAGAUUAAAUUACCUUAGGGAUAACAGCGUAAUUUUUUUUUAGAGUUCUUAUUGAAAGAAAAGAUUGCGACCUCGAUGUUGGAUUAAAAUAAAUAUUUGGUGUAGUAGCUAGAUAAUUAGGUCUGUUCGACCUUUAAAAUUUUACA